GAGAAAAGGAGAGAGAGCGGAACAGGAGGAGGAAGGAAGGAGGGACAAGGGAAUUAUGACCGUUCUCACUCAAAUUGAGCGUUAACACACACACACUCCGAGAUUGAUGGAAUAUUAGCUGUUUGCACGCACAGAAACGGACACACACACACACACAGUGAGGCGUAGCGGUGGGGGUGUUUUGUUUGCUAGCUCAUGAGUUGAAACAUUUUGAUAUAGGAUUUUAUUAGGCACAGAGAUUUAGUGCCUCCAUGGUAGGGGCCCUUGGGGGAGUGCAUCCGUUAACUGUAAAUGUAGGGAAAUUUACCCAUUUCGGGAUAGUCGCCAGCCUAAUGAAACUCAAUGUGUCCUCUUUAGAUUCACUGAGUCCAUUUUUCCUCCUACUCGCUCUCUAGCUUCCUCUUAUAAUCUAUUUUUCUUCCCCGUUCAUUCUGUUCCACCUGCUCCCUUUUCAUCGUCUUCCUCCCUCCUUGCCUUCCUCUCACAGAUUUGUUAUGCUGCUAAAGCCAGUCUGUUUUAUAGUUCUCAUGGGUCACUGUUUGCUUCUAUGUCUCUUUGCUCUCUCUCGCUCUCUUCUUCCGCCCUCCAUUAUUCAUCUGUUAUGCUACUGCCAUUCUGCAGUACACUUCUCAAAUUGGCCCUUUCCUAAAUUAGCCAUCAAUGGUGAUAAAGAUUUGGACUUGUGGUUUUACUUAAUUCUCCAUACUAGCCAAAGAUUAUAACGCCGAUUCUGAUCCAACCAUAAAUUCAUACGUUGUGCCCCCGGCCUGAGAGGAUGUUCAAUAUAUAGCUAGAUGUAGGCUACCAUGGACAGCCACAUGCUAUUUAGCUUAUGUUGAUUGGACUAAAUAGUUUUUGGUAUCUUUUAGUUGUCACUGUAUUAGACUAAGCAUAGGUCAUUUGAUAAUGUUGAAAUCUUGAAGUUUAAAUGAUGCUGGAAUAGUGGAGGCAGCUCCUGUUUUCUUUGCGACUUGCGGUAGCCUAAUUCUCCGUGGUUCUAAAUCAAUAGUUGUUUAGUAGUCUGAAAAUGUUGGCAAGAUGAACUUGCUUGACCAUGCUGUAUGUCAUACAACUGUUUGUUACAUGCAAUAUGCUUUGUGAACUUCAACGGACAGAUGUUGCUCUCCGGUUUUAUGAUGAAACAAAGGUGUGGUUGAAUUUAUUCAGCCACUGUGUCUUCUUAUAGUCUCGGCCUUAGGCCUAUGUACAGGGGUGAAAAUAGAAUACAUUUCUUCCCGGUGUGGGACCUCCCCAAAAUGUUUAUGGGCCAAUCAUAGAAUUACAUAUAGAAUCACUAUUAAUUCAAUAGGAUCUCUAUAGGCCUAGUCGUAAAGAUUUGUUAUUCAACUUUUAAAAUGUAUUACCUUUUAUUGUGCCAUAAAAACAAACAGUCAUGAUAUUUUCAUCUGAUUGUCAAACAAUCACUUCAAAGGGAUCCUUUACUAGGCUGCCCGUGCACAUUCAUCCACUCGCAAAAUAUUUCCAGUCUCCAAACAGUGGUGAAGAUACAUCUGUUACACAAAACACCAAAAAGUGUAGUCAUUAGGCCAGAAUUUAUGCGUUCACUGUUGUCUGUGCACGUCUCGGUGUCAGCCACUUGUUAGGGUUCGUUUCCUUAUCAAUCAGUUACUCAUUAGUGAAAUUAGCAUUAUGACAAUAUCUUUAAUUAAAUCAUUCAAAAACCUUUAUUAAUGCAAUUGCAGACAGAAGUUGACAAACAGGAACAUUGCACGAAUGUUGCUGAGUAAGUUCUGCAUCAAACAAAAGGUCUCCAGUUGUUUUAUUAAACCCUAAGUCGCGCCCUGGUGAUGUCACUGCUUACGUCAUCAUCCUCUACUCCUGGGACCACAACCAUGCCUACAAAGCUGUAUUAACAGGGCCUUUAUUGUUAGCUAAACGCUUAGCAGUAAAUGUCCCCUCCCCCCAAAGUUGAUUUAUUGUGGAAUGUUUGCCUAGUCUUAUCUCCUUCACUCCCCUGCAGAGUUCUGUCUAAGUCACACAUUUCUAAGAGGGGCCUCUUUAUAAUGAGGCAGAUAGAGAGAAAUCGAUAACUAAAAUACAACUGUAGAACAAUACUAAACUUCUACAAUGAAUAUAGAUAUUGUUAAUCCGUAGUCUAAAACCCUAUACAUGUAAGGAGGGAGGGGUCUUAUAACCCCUCCCCUUCUAUUAAUAAAACAUAAGCAUAAUUAAUUAUUCUAAUACGUCAAACAUUUUGGUACAACCCUUUUCGUGACCCCUAGGUGAACCCGACACACUCAUCUCUGCCUUUUUCUGUGUUCUCGUCGAACCACAUCACAUUUUGAAGCGUAGGCUAUACCACACGUUUUGAAUUGUGAUACAGUGAAUUAUAAGUGAAAUAAUCUGUCUGUAAACAAUUGUUGGAAAAAUUACUUGUGUCAUGCACAAAGUAGAUGUCCUAACCGACUUGCCAAAACUAUAGUUUGUUAACAAUACAUUUGUGGAGUGGUUGAAAAACAAGUUUUAAUGACUCCAACUGUCACGUUCCUGACCUGUUUUUCCCUUUUCUUGUAUUUAUUUAGUUGGUCAGGGCGUGAGUUGGGGUGGGUUGUCUAUGUGUUAUUUUCUAUGUUGGGAUGUUUGUGUUCGGCCGGGUAUGAUUCUCAAUCAGAGACAGCUGUCAAUCGUUGUCCCUGAUUGAGAAUCAUACUUAGGCAGCCUGGGUUUCACGUGUGUUUUGUGGGUGUUUGUAUCUCGUGUCUGUAUUCGUGCCACACGGGACUGUUUGUCGGUUCGUUUCUCUUUUGUCAUUUUGUUUCGUUAGUGUUCCGUUUAUUUUGUUAAUAAAUAAUCAUGGACAUAAACCACUCCGCAUAUUGGUCUGAUCCUUCUCGCCUCUCCUCCUCGUCCGAGGAGGAGGAUUACGACGACCGUAACACCAACCUAAGUGUAUGUAAACUUCAGACUUCAACUGUAGGUUGUAAUCAGUGGUGUAAAGUACUUAAGUAAAAAAUACUUUAAAGUACUACUUAAGUAGUUUUUGUGGUGUCUGUACUUUAGUUUACUAUUUAUAUUUUUGACUACUUUUACUUUUACUUCACUACAUUCAACCCAAAACGAUGUACUUUUUACUCCAUACAUUUUCCCUGACACCCAAAAGUACAUGUUACAUUUUCAAUGCUGAGCGGGACAGGAAAAAGGUCCAAUUCACGCACUUAUCAAGAUAACAUAUCUGGUCAUCCCUACUGCCUCUGAUCUGGAAUAUUAAUUAAACACACAUGCUUCAUUUGUAAAUUAUGUGUUGGAAUGUGCCCCUGGCUAUCUGAAAAUAAAACAUUUAAAUAGAAUUAUGCCGUCUUGUUUGCUUAAGAUAAACAAUUAGAAAUUAUUUAUAAUUUUGAUACUUAACUAUAUUAUAGCAAUUACAUUUACUUUUGAUACUUAAGUAUAUUUAAAACCAAAUACUUUUAGACUUUUACUCAAGUAGUAUUUUCCUGGGUGACUCACUUUUAAUUGAGUCAUUUUCUAUUAAGGUAUCUUUACUUUUACUCAAGUAUGACAAUUGGAUACUUUUUGCAUCACUGGUUGUAAUAUGGAUAUUUUUUCCUGUUUUGGCUUUCCGAGUGAUUUUACCCACGCACCACUACUGCUCAUUGGUCACUGACCAAAUAUUUCUAUAACUAACCCAAGAUAGACAACAGCCUGUCGUUUCCAAUGGGAGCAAAUUCAUUAUAGUGGGUAGGCAGAGCAAAGCUAGCAAGAGGUUAUUGGCGCGUUCUAGCAUGUAUUUGCAUAUUUCCGUUGGGGAACGCCUACUCUGUGAAGUUGCGCAAUAACUACAUUUACCCUUACACUCCUAAAUAAUGCAAUUUUUAAAAAAUUGGGUAAAGGGUAAAGUCUACAAAACUUUAUCCACUCUGUUCGUAACAUAUUCUAGUUUUGGAAACAGAAAACCGUAUCAAAAUGUUUAAUCGAUGAGAAAAUGUGCAGAAUGUCAGCCAAAAUCCAUCUUGUUCCAUCAUCUCCCACUGCCGGACACUGGGCUUCCUCUCACCACCAUAUUUGGUAGUGAGUGGAAACGCCAACCGGAUGAUUCACAUUUACACAUCCUGUGAAAUAUCUGUCUCAUUAUUCUAUCUGUGCCAUUCUUUUUUUCUGUCUGUCUGUCUGUCUGUCUGUCUGUCUGUCCCCUUCCCUCCCUCUCUUUCCCACCCUUCCCUACUCCUCUAUUUCCUGCCUCCUUCUUCCUCUCCUUCUUCCUCUCAUACUCUCAUUGUCGGCUCAACCGUGAGAAAAUCUAAUCCCCCAUCAUGUCACUGAUGUGUGUCAUACAUGAUGCCUUUAUCUCUCAAGCACACAGAGAGUACGUCUGAGUCUGGGCUAUAUGAAACCAGCUGUGGAGGCCACCACAAUCAUCUCCUAUCCAUCUUCAUUUAAUGGAGUCCUUUAGCUGCACUAUUGUGGAAGGAUGUUCUGCAAUGCUAUUAGUGCUGCCUGAAUGCACAGAAAGGCUGAGUGAGGAGGGCCAUUAUCAAAGAAGAUGAAAGAAAUAUGGAAAGGAAGAGUUUCACAAGGUCAUUUGUGCUAGAAAUGUGAUUGGCAAGUACAGUAAAUAGCUUCUGAUGUUACUUUGGUUUUAGGUUUUAUUCAGUGUUAUUGUGUUUUUUGUAUGCUUUUUUUAAAGGUUGUGUGGUAGACUAUUGUAGACAAUCUUACAUUCUUGGUGGGAAAAGAUAAUACAUAACGUCUAAAAACCUUGACAUUGCAGACUACUGUAAAGUGAACCGUGACGCUAUACACCAACAGUUUCCCAGGCAUUCAUGAUACAUACCUAAGCACCACUCAAACAUGAAAUAACAGCUCUGCGACAAGUUGUCGAAUUGCUCUAGCCUAGCAUGCCUAUGAAAAAUAUUUUUCAUAACAUGUUCGACAUUGGGCAAAGGGUAACGGCUGCUGAGUUGUUGGUAUACACUACCGUUCAAAAGUUUGGGGUCACUUAGAAAUGUCUUUGUUUUUGAAAGAAAAGCAAUUUUUUUGUCCGUUAAAAUAACAUCAGAUUGAUCAGAAAUACAGUGUAGACAUUGUUAAUGUUGUAAAUGACUAUUGUAGCUGGAAACGGCUGAUUUUUAUUGGAAUAUCUACAUAGGCGUACAGAGGCCCAUUAUCAGCAACCAUCACUCCUGUGUUCCAAUGACACGUUGUGUUGGCUAAUCCAAGUUUAUCAUUUUAAAAAGGCUAAUUGAUCAUUUGAAAAACCUUUUUCAAUUAUGUUAGCACAGCUGAAAACCUUUGUGCUGAUUAAAGAAGCAAUAAAACUGGCCUUUAGACUAGUUGAGUAUCUGGAACAUCAGCUUUUGUGGGUUCGAGUUUCUUCUGAAACUCGUCAGUCUAUCCUUGUUCUGAGAAAUGAAGGCUAUUCCAUGUGAGAAAUUGCCAAGAAACUGAAGAUCUCAUACAACGCUGUGUAUCACUCCCUUCACAGAACAGUGUAAACUGGCUCUAACCAGAAUAGAAAGAGGAGUGGGGGGCCCUGGUGCACAACUGAGCAAGAGGACAAGUACAUUAGAGUGUCUAGUUUGAGAAACAGAUGCCUCACAAGUCCUCAACUGGCAGCUUCAUUAAAUAGUACCCACAAAACACCAGUCUCAACAUAAACAUUGAAGAGGCGACUCUGGGAUGCUGGCCUUCUAGACAGAGUUGCAAAGAAAAAGCCUUCUCUCAGACUGGCCAAUAAAAAGAAAAGAUUAAGAUGGGCAAAAGAACACAGACACUGGAUAGAGGAAGAUUGGAAAAAAGUCUAAGCUUGUGUCUAAGCUUGUGACCGGAUCACAAAGAAGAACAUUCGUGAGAGGCAGAAAAGAUGCUGGAGGAGUGCUUGACGCCACAUGUCAAGCAUGGUGGAGGCAAUGUGAUGGUCUGGGGAUGCUUUGGUGGUGGUAAAGUGGGAAAUUUGUACAGGGUUAAAGGGAUAUUGAAGAAGGAAGGCUAUCACUCCAUUUUGCAACGCCACGUCAAACCCUGUGGACGACAUUUAAUUUGAGCCAAUUUCCUCCUACAACAGGACAAUGACCCAAAGCACAGCUCCAAACUAUGCAAUAACUAUUUAGAGAAGAAGUAGGAGGUGCUAAAGGAAGCAUGGGGUGAAAUCUCUAAAGAUUACCUCAACAAAUUGACAACUAGAAUGCCAAAGGUCUGCAAGGCUGUAAUUGCUGCAAAUGGAGGAAAAUAACUCCCCACAAAACCCAAACGGAAAAUCACAACUUAUAUAUGAUCCCCAAUCAGAGACAACGAUAGACAGCUGCCUCUGAUUGGGAACCACACAUGGCAAAAACAACAAAGAAAUAGAAAACAGAGAAUCUCCCACCCGAGUCACACCCUGACCUAACCACACAUAGAGAAUAAAUGAGGAUCUCUAAGGUCAGGGCGGGACAGGUAGUGUAUGUAGUAGAGUUCAACCGAUUAUGAUUUUUCAACGCUGAUACCGAUUAUUGGAGGACCCAAAAAAGCCGAUAACGAUUAAUCGGCCGAUAAAAAAAAUAAAAAAUAAAUUUGUAAUAAUGACAAUUACAACAAUACUGAAUGAACACUUAUUUUAACUUAAUAUAAUACAUCAAUAAAAUCUCAAAUCUAUUUAGCCUCAAAUAAAUAAUGAAACAUGUUCAAUUGGGUUUAAAUAAUGCAAAAACAAAGUGUUGGAGAAGAAAGUAAAAGUGCAAUAUGUGCCAUGUAAGAAAGCUAACGUUAAAGUUCCUUGCUCAGAACAUGAGAACAUAUGAAAGCUGGUGGUUCUUUUUAACAUGAGUCUUCAAUAUUCCCAGGUAAGAAGUUUUAGGUUGUAGUUAUUAUAGGAAUUAUAGGACUAUUUCUCUCUAUACCAUUUGUAUUUCAUUAACCUUUGACUAUUGGAUGUUCUUAUAGGCACUUUAGUAUUGCCAGUGUAAGAGUAUAGCGUCCAUCCCUCUCCUCGCUCCUACCUGGGCUCGAACCAGGAACACAACGACAACAGCCACCCUCGAAGCAGCGUUACCCAUGCAGAGCAAGGGGAAUAACUACUCCAAGUCUCAGAGCGAGUGACGUUUGAAACGCUAUUAGCGCGCACCCUGCUAACUAGCUAGCCAUUUCACAUCGGUUACACCAGCCUAAUCUCGGGAGUUGAUAGGCUUGAAGCACAGCGAAGAGCUUCUGGCAAAACGCAGGAAAGUGCUGUUUGAAUGAAUGCUUACGAGCUUGCUGCUGCCUACCACCGCUCAGUCAAACUGCUCUAUCAAAUCAUAGACUUAGUUAUAACAUAAUAACACACAGAAAUACGAGCCUUAGGUCAUUAAUAUGGUCGAAUCCGGAAACUAUAAUCUCGAAAACAAAACGUUUAUUCUUUCAGUGAAAUACGGAACCGUUCCGUAUUUUAUCUAACGGGUGGCAUCCAUAAGUCUAAAUAUUCCUGUUACAUUGCACAACCUUCAAUGUUAUGUCAUAAUUACGUACAAUUCUGGCAAAUUAGGUGGCCCAAACUGUUGCAUAUACACUGACUAUGCGUGCAAUGAAUGCAAGAGAAGUAACACAAUUUCACCUGGUUAAUAUUGCCUGCUAACCUGGAUUUCUUUUAGCUAAAUAUGCAGGUUUAAAAAUGUAUACUUCUGUGUAUUGAUUUUAAGAAAGGCAUUGAUGUUUAUGGUUAGGUAAACAUUGGAGCAACGAUAUGCACCGCAUCGAUUAUAUGCAACGCAGGACACGCUAGAUAAACUAGUAAUAUCAUCAACCAUGUGUAGUUAACUAGUGAUUAUGAUUGAUUGAUUGAUUGUUUUUUAUAAAAUAAGUUUAAUGCUAGCUAGCAACUUACCUUGGCUUCUACUGCAUUCACGUAACAGGCAGGCUCCUCGUGGAGUGCAAUGUAAUCAGGUGGUUAGAGCGUUGGACUAGUUAACUGUAAGGUUGCGAGAUUGAAUCCCCGAGCUGACAAGGUAAAAAUCUGUCGUUCUGCCCCUGAAAGAGGCAGUUAACCCACCGUUCCUAGGCCGUCAUUGAAAAUAAGAAUGUGUUCUUAACUGAGUUGCCUAGUUAAAUAAAUAUUAAAUAAAGUUGUAAAAAAAUAAACAAUAAAAAAUAAUAAUAAUUAAUCGGCCAAAUCGGUGUCCAAAAAUGACGAUUAUCGAUUGUUAUGAAAACUUGAAAUCGGCCCUAAUUAAUCAGCCAUUCCGAUUAUUCGGUCGACCUCUAGUAUGUAGCGCGUAUUUACAGUAUACUGAACAAAAAUAUGAACGCAACACUUAAAGUGUUGGUUUCAUGAGCUGAAAUAAAAGACCCGACAAAUGUUCCAUACGCACAAAAAGCUUAUUUCUCUCAAACUUUGCCAAGAUAAUCCAUCCACCUGACAGGUUUGGUAUAUCAAGAAGCUGAUUAAACAGCAUGAUCAUUACACGGGAGCACCUUGUGCUGGGGACAAUGAAGGGCCACUAUAAUAUGUGGAGUUGUUACACAACACAAUGCCACACUGCCCUAUCAAGCAAAAAGGCAGUAACUGCUCAUAGAGUGGAACUGAGAAAAAUGGCUUUUAUUUACCGUGGUUUCACAGUAACUUUAUGCAGUUGCUGCUAACAUGACCCACAUUUUCUCCAAAACACAAUACAAUAGAGGCAGGAUACUUGUCCACAUGAUUAAUCAUGUAUUAAUGUAGCAAAAAUGACAUUAACUCAUUAUUGACCAAAUGAGCAGUUACUAACUUUUUGCUUGGUAGGGCAGCACUGAUGUCUCAAGUUUUGAGGGAGCGUGCAAUUGGCAUGCUGACAGCAGGAAUGUCCACCAGAGCAGUUGCCAGAGAAUUGAAUGUUAAUUUCUCUACCAUAAGCAGCCCUCCAACGUUGUUUUAGAGAAUUUGGCAGUACGUCCAACCGGCCUCACAACUGCAGACCACGUGUAACCACGCCGGCCCAGGACCUCCACAUUCGGCUUUUUCACCUGCGGGAUGGUCUGAGACAAGCCACCCGGACAGCUGAUAAUACUGUGGGUUUGUACGAAAAAUCUCUGCUCAAAUGGUCAGAAACCGUGUCAGGGAAGCUCACCUGCUUGCUUGCCCAGGGUCUUGACUUGACUGCAGUUUGGCGUCAUAACCGACUUCAGUGGGCAAAUGCUCACCUUCCGUGGCCACUGGCACGCUGGAGACGUGUGCUCUUCACAGAUUAAUCCCGGUUUCAACUUUACCAGGCAGAUGGCAGACAGCGUGUAUGGCUUCGGGUGGGCGUGCGGUUUGCUGAUGUCAACGUUGUAAACAGAGUGCCCCAUUUUUUGAAAUAUUUUUUUAUUACACCUUUAUUUAGCCAGGUAGGCUAGUUGAGAACAAGUUCUCAUUUACAACUGCGACCUGGCCAAGAUAAAGCACAGCAGUUCGACACAUACAACAACACAGAGUUACACAUGGAAUAAACAAACAUACAGUAGAAAAAAAGAAAAAUCUAUAUACAGUGAGUGCAAAUGGGGUAAAAUAAGGGAGGUAAGGCAAUAAAUAGGCCAUUGUGGCGGAGUAAUUACAAUAUAUCAAUUAGACACUGGAAUGGUAGAUGUGCAGAAGAUGAAUGUGCAAGUAGAGAUACUGGGGUGCAAAGGAGCAAGAUAAAUAAAUACAGUAUGGGGAUGAGGUAGUUGGAUGGGCUGUUUACAGAUGGGCUAUGUACAGGUGCAGUGCUCUGUGAGCAGCUCUGAUAGCUGGUGCUUAAAGCUAGUGAGGGAGAUAUGGGUCUCCAGCUUCAGUGAUUUUUGCAGUUCGUUCCAGUCAUUGGCAGCAGAGAACUGGAAGGAAAGGUGGCCAAAGGAGGAAUUGGCUUUGGGGGUGACCAGUGAGAUGUACUAGCUGGAGCGCGUGCUACGGGUGGGUGCUGCUAUGGUGACCAGUGAGCUGAGAUAAGGCGGGGCUUUACCUAGCAGAGACUUGUAGAUGACCUGGAGCCAGUGGGUUUGGCGACGAGCAUGAAGCGAGAGCCAGCCAACGAGAGAGUACAGGUCGCAGUGGUGGGUAUUAUAUGGGGCUUUGGUGACAAAACGGAUGGCACUGUGAUAGACUGCAUCCAAUUUGUUGAGUAGAGUGUUGGAGGCUAUUUUAUAGAUGACAUCGCCGAAGUCGAGGAUCGGUAGGAUGGUCAGUUUUACGAGGGUAUGUUUGGCAGCAUGAGUGAAGGAUGCUUUGUUGCAAAAUAGGAAGCCAAUUCUAGAUUUGUUUUGGAUUGGAGAUGUUUCAUGUGAGUAUGGAAGGAGAGUUUACAGUCUAGCCAGACACCUAGGUAUUUGUAGUUGUCCACAUUCUAAGUCGGAACCCAUGGUGGCGGUGGGGUUGUGGUAAGGGCAGGCAUAAGCGACAGACAACGAAUACAAUUGCAAUUUAUCAAUUGCAAUUUGAAUGCACAGAGAUACCUUGACAAGAUCCUGAGGCCCAUUGUCGUGCCAUUCAUCGUCUGCCACCACCUCAUAUUUCAGCAUGAUAAUGCACGGCCUCAUGUCGCAAGGAUCUGUACACAAUUUCUGGAAGCUGAAAACGUUCCAGUUCUUCAGUGGCCUGCAUACUCACCAGACAUGUGUACGACAGCAUGUUCCAGUUCCUGCCAAUAUCCAGCAAUUGAAGAGGAGUAGAACAACAUUCCACAGUCCACAAUCAACAGUCUGAUCAAGUAUAUGUGAAGGAGAUGUGUCGUGCUGCAUGAGGCAAAUGGCCCGACCUUUUUUGUUGUUGUUGGUAUCUGUUACCAACAAAUGCAUAUUUGUAUUCCCAGUCAUGUGAAAUCCAUAGAUUAGGAUCCUAAUGAAUUGUAUUUCAAUUGACUGAUUUCCUUGUAUGAGCUAUAACUCAGUAAAUUCUUUGAAAUUGUUGCAUUUUGCAUUUAUAUCCUUGUUCAGUGUACUUCAAAUGGUUUAGCUCAAACACAACGUUAGCUAAAUAAACCUAGCAUAUUAAUGCCGGAGACCCGGGCCCUUGCUGAGUGACAUGGCUGUGGACAGAGAUGAUUGGUGUCACAGGGGAGUGUCGACAAGGUCUGACAAACUGGGCAGCUACCACAACAAAUCACUGUUCUCUCCAAGCAUAGUCGAUAUAAUGAGCCUAGACCCUGGGGUACCUGUGUGUGGGCCGCGUGGUGUGUUUGCUGUGUGUACAGUACAUGCUAUUGUGUGUGUGUGUGUGUGAGCCAUGUGUGUUUGUGUGUGGUACAUGCUAUUGGAAUAAGGGAGGAGGAGUAGGAAGAGGAUUAGGAGGAACAAGGGAGAAUCCCCUAGAGAACAUUAUUGAUUACCAUUGGCAUGCUUCUCUCUUUCUCUCCCUCCCCUCUCUCUCUUUCCUUCUUUCCCUCCCUCGCUCUCUUUCCUUGUCUUCCUGUCUCUCUCUCCAUCUUUCUUCCUCGCUACGUCUUUCUAACAGCCACAGUUUACUUAUAUGGUUUUGCAGGGGCUGUGUUGUUUUGUUUGGUGCCGUGCUGUGCUGUGCUCCAGAGAGAAUCGUACUCCGCCUUCUGUAAACCAUGCUUGCUGGAGCUCUUCCCAUGUGCAUCAAUGCAAGCAGCCGUAGCACUCGGUGGAAUUUCAAAAUGCACCAGAGGCUUGACACAUUACAUUAUGCACCACCGCUGUAUACUUGUGUUCAGAGAAGCUGAAAUGGUCUAACCACACGGACACCGUAGUGAAGAAGGCACGACAGCGACUCUUUAACCUCAGGGUGCUGAGGAAAUUUGGCCUGUCCCCCGAGGGCUCUCACAGUGUUCUACAGGAGCACCAUCAAGAGCAUACUGUCAGGCUGCAUCACAGCCUGGUACGGCAACUCCGCCGUCGCGGACCGCAAGGCUCUUCACAGGGCAAUACGUGCAGUCAAACGCACCAUUGGGUGCACAGUGCCUGCCCAACAGGACACCUACAACACCAGGUGUCACAGGAAGGCCAAGAAGAUCAUCAGGGACCCCAGCCACCUAAGCCACGCCCUGUUCUCCCCGCUUCAAACACUCAGACGCAGGCAGUACAGGAGCAUCAUGGCAAAAACCGACUGGCCAAUAGUUUCCACCCUCAGACCAUCAGACGGCUGAAUAGCCACCACUAGUCAGCUACCUGCCCCCUCCCCCCUGCUCCUCCCCCCUGCUCCUCCCCCAUGGACACCCUCAACUCUCACUUAUCUUUCCUGCUACUCCCCCCAUGGACAUUCUUUCUCCUCUCCGCCCCAACGGAUAUUACUCUGCCCCCACUCCAACGACAUUCAUCACUAUUGCUGCUGUUAAUAUUUAUAUAUUACUUUUUGGUUUUAUUUCACUCAAUGAUCAUGCUUCUGCUCCCCCUAUGGUCAUUCCACCUCACCCCCUCAAAUGUCUUUACUCUGCCUCCACCCCAAUGGACAUUUAUUUAUUCAUCACUGCCUCAGUUGCUAUUAUGAAUAUAGUGCUAUUUCUAUAGUUUUUUUUUUAAAUGACCAUUUUCAUUAUUUUAUUUCACUAGUUCUGCAUGUUGGAGCUCGAAGCCAAAGAUUUUCACUGUACGCCACAAUCACACCUGCAACCCUGUGACUAUUAAACAAUCUGAAUCAGUUUCAAACCGCCACUUGGCUAUACUCUGGGGGGAAAACGAUGGUCUCAAGAUGCAAUGCAUCCUCCUUUCCCUGGAUUGCGCUCUUGUUAAUGACAAGCGUUUAGAUUUAGAUUGAACUGGGACCUCUGUUUUGAAUGAACCGCCGCCUGAGUGAUAAAUUGCAUUUUAUGUUCGCCAAGGUCUCAAAACACUUUACAUUGUAUAUAGGGUAAAUUACCCCAUCCACCCGCCAAUGUGUAGCACCCACCGGAAUACUCGCAGCACGUGGGCUAUCACGGUGGAGAAUGAGGAGUAAUGGUGUCUGUUUGGAAGCUAGGGAUGAUAACAUGGCCAUGGUGGUGAAGAGGCUAGCUGCUAGCCGGGAGCUCUCUAUUCACCUUGAAGGGGAAACAUUCUAGUAUUGGGGAUGAGAGCAUCUUAAUAUUCAAGGCCCUUUAGCUUUUCAAGCCAGUAGUAGGAGGCUGUAGACAAGCUCGCUAGCUUGCUAGCACUACCAGGAUAUAUUCAAGAGCUCCACCUGUCCUCAGGCUGUGUAUCAGAUGCUCUCCUGUGUGCCCCCAUUUUUUUUUGGGGGGGGGGGGGUGAUAAAAAUGCAUGACUGAUAGUUUGCCUCUAAGAGUAUUAUUAUUUAUGAACCCUGGCUCUACUCUACAAGGAGAUACUGUAUAUUACUCUGCAACAACUGCAGAGUCCAUAUAGUCAUCGUUUUUGGUCUAUUCAAAUGCUGAGAAAGCAUUACUGGUUUUACUGCUUUCUUCUGUGAUAAAUUACCGCCACCGUUUUUUUGUAUGAUGAAACCAAAUCACAUCCUGAAACAUGUGCUCCUUUGAUGCUUUCUUACAUUGCCUGGGAAUAGGGAGUGUUUAAGUUCCAAUAUCUGAGACCUGGAUAUAAAUGACAGAUGUACCCACUAGCACAACAAACCAUAAAUGCAUACCGAAAGCAUUUUCCCUUUUAUCUAUUCUAACUCCCACAUGUACAAACAGAUUGUGGGAGAUGUGAUAGAGCGGAGGGACACAUUUGGCAGAUAAUACAUACAGCAUUACUGUGGGGACUCCUGGAUAGUGAUCUAUAACAUCUGGAGUAUAGAGAUGAUGUUAUGAAUACUGAUAUGUAAGAAGUUACAAAUCAGUAGCCUGGUCCCAGAUCUGAUUGUGCUGUCUUGCCAACUCCUAUGGUCAUUGUCAUAUAGGAGUUGGCAAGACCAAACAAAUAGAUCAUGGGAACAGGGUAAAAAAAACUGUUGUUUGGCACCAGUUUUAGCUAUAGACACUCUUUCAACCCACUUAACAAAGAAUGAACAAUCUGCUUAGACUCACUAAUUGUAUUUAGCCUCUAUUUAACUAGGCAAGUCAGUUAAGAACAAAUUCUUAUUUACAAUGACGGCCUACUCCGGCCAAACCCCGACGACGCUGGGCCAAUUGUGCGCCGCCCCUAUGGGACUCCCAAUCACAGCCUGGAUGUGAUACAGCCUGGAUUUGAAGCUGGUAUUAUAGUGACACCUCUAGCACUGAGAUGUAGUGCCUUAGACCACUGCACCACUCGGGAGCCCAAUCAUUUGUCUUAGUUUCGUGUCGAACCAACUCGCUGCUAGUGAGAGAUUCAAAAGGACGAGUCCCUUACUGAGUUGAUGAAUUAGUCCAAUUAAUCAGGGGUAAUUAUGCAGAUGCAUAAUUACUGAACACCUUUGCAAUAUUUUCCAUUCCGAAAAUGGAAUAAACAAUUUGUUUUAUUACACAUCUAAAUCUGAUUACAAAUGUACUGGGUUUCUCUUAACGUUACAGAACUGCUGAGAUGUAGCCUACAGUCUUUAAGUAUGGUGAAUUGUUCUUAGCUGCUUACAAGAAACGACUUCCGGUGAUCAACAACUUCAACGUUUGUUACGAACGAUGAGGAAAAAUGUGAGGUGUCAGGCGCAGAGAGCAAAGAUAUGGGGGAAAAAACACUCUUUAAUGUCCAACCAGAAGAACAACUGGUAACGUCAAAACAUAGGCGUAAAAAUCCACUCGAAUACAGUACACACUGGAAAAAUAAAUCCAGACAGUGGAAAACCCCAAUAAUACGAACAACCUCAUACAAAAACAGAAAGACAAGCCCGCACAAACAGAAGCGGGCUAAACGAACUUAAAUAGCACCACCCUAACAACCAAACAAUGAACAGGUGAAAACAAUUAGACAAAACCAAAUGAAAAGGAAAAAGGGAUCGGUGGCAGCUAGUAGACCGGCGACGACGACCGCCGAGCACCACUCGAACAGGAAGGGGAGCCACCUUCGGUAAUGCUCGUUACAACGUUUCAUCAAAUUCAGAUUGAACCUGGGCGAACUUGAUGUGGGACCCAACCUGUCCCGAAUUGAAUAGUCAAUAAAAACCUUGAUGAUAUU